UACAGAGGGUGCGAGCGUUGUUCGGAAUUAUUGGGCGUAAAGGGCGCGUAGGCGGCCAUGCGUGUCUUCCGUGAAAUCCCUCGGCUUAACUGAGGACGUGCGGAAGAAACUGCAAGGCUCGAGUCCGGGAGAGGGGGGUGGAAUUCCCAGUGUAGCGGUGAAAUGCGUAGAUAUUGGGAGGAACACCGGUGGCGAAGGCGGCCCCCUGGACCGGUACUGACGCUGAGGCGCGAAAGCGUGGGUAGCAAACGGG
rnacentral:rRNA from 1 species